rnacentral:siRNA from 1 species
UGGGUAGACUUCUUUAGCAGCUGC